GAUGUGUCCUCUCUAAUGCAAAGCAAUGUUCUAUCCAAGUUGUCUUUGCCUCGCUUGUGGACAAGAUCAAUACUUUCUAUUAUCCUAGCGUCUAAUUUAGUUCUAUUUAUAUUUUGAUGCUCGAGAAACGUAGAAAUACAAAA
rnacentral:snoRNA from 1 species